rnacentral:misc_RNA from 1 species
UUUCCGUAGGUGAACCUGCGGAAGGAUCAUUAGUGAUUGUGAAUCGUUGCCUUCAGUGCUGGCUGGCUCCAGCAAGUGCACGUUGGUGACUUUCAUCCAAAUACCCAUGUGAACCUUUGGCCUCUUGCUGGCUUCGGCUGACAGAGGAUUUUACACCCCAACUCGAAUGUAAUGAAGACUAUUGUUGUGCGCAAGCACUACCUAAUGUACAACUUUCAACAACGGAUCUCUUGGCUCUCGCAUCGAUGAAGAACGCAGC